rnacentral:misc_RNA from 1 species
GUGAAUCAUCGAAUUUUUGAACGCAAAUUACACUCUCCUCGGAGAGUAUGCCUGUUUGAGGGUCAGCCUAUAAAAAAUCAACAUCGUUGCUGUUUCGCGGUGGCUUUCGUCGGAAAUUGGUUUACUUUAAAUCUUUUUGGUUUUUAAGCGACUUAAAUUUUCCUUUUUGUUUCCUUGAAGGUUCCAAGGUUUUAUUUUUUUACACGUUUAAGGUAUGGUUUUUUAUUAGACGUAACCA